rnacentral:lncRNA from 1 species
AUGCCUUGGCAUCCUACCCACCUGACUCAAAAAACUGUGUCUUGCACUUUGGCAGGAGCCAGAGGAAUGCUUGGUUACAUGAGGACGGGUAUCCUCUCUCUGAUUUUGUGUCCAGCGUUUCCAGAGAACACAGGAAAAUGCUUCUGUCAGGCUCCAUGGAAUUGCAGAUGGAGGCUCCAGUCUACAAAGCAUCAGACCUCGUGGAUGGUUGAUCAGGAUUAUAUGCUCUGAUAUUAUGUUUCUACCAGCUGAGAAGCCCUACAUCAGGGCAAGGAGAAAUCCAGCCCCUUAAUUUGGCAGGAUGGUGCAAAGGAGAGCAUUGUUCCCUGCUUGCAGCCAGGCAGGGUUUGGCCAUGGUUCUCCUGGUGGUUCAUGCAGGGAUGGGGUGAGUAAGUAAUUCUGCAGGAUGAUAAUAAGUAGUCCUUUCGGUAAUAACUGGCUGUGAGGAAACAGAAAAAAGGAGCUUUCCAUGAUUUUUUGAGUGGAGAAAUUAUCAUUUUGUUUCUACAGUGUAGACAAGUGAGAGUUUAAAUGCAUUUCUUGCAAGCAAAGAGCUUGCAUUGAUCUCUGUGUCUGACAUGUAAUUCUGAUUUUUCUUGAUAGCAGCACUCCUGACAGUCCCUGAACACCAGCCCAUUUCUCUUUGCCAGACAGCAGGGACAUGGUAUACUCCUUUCCCAUCUGCUCCAUAGAGAGCAUAAAUGCUCCAUUAUUUGGCCAUGAAAAAGAGCAUCACUUUGUUUCUUAGUAGCUGAGUUUCUUGGCAGUUGAAACCAAGCAAAACCACUUCUUGUUUUUCCUGCUAAAGCAGAACAUAUCUGCAGGUUUCUGCUGCCAACGAAAUGUUGACCCCUCCCCAUCUCUGUGUGCAGAUGUACACAUAUCCUCCUGACAGUAUAGUGGACGAUGGGGCUGUCCUUGAGAGAUCUCACCAGCCACUGCACUAUAUUUAAAUAGCAAGCUUAGAGCUGAACAAGGAGUCUGGUAAGUAAAAUGUGUGUAAAGAAGCUGACUAUUCCCUCACAGGUUCUUAUAGACAAAAAACAAAGACAAAUAUUAAGACGAAGGAGCACAUCACAGUUCUGGGGGAAAUAACCUCGUGUUUCUCUAAAGCUUAGCAAACUUCAAGCCUCCACAUAAAGUUCAUGAACUCAUUUUUAUGGCUCAGAGACAACAUGAAGAAUAGGGUUUUAUUUUUCUACAAAAUUCCAUUCUACUGGUGUAUUUAAGCUAUACCACCCUUUUUAUUGUUUUUCCCAAGAGGAUU